rnacentral:rRNA from 1 species
UACAGAGGUCUCAAGCGUUGUUCGGAUUCAUUGGGCGUAAAGGGUGCGUAGGCGGCGUGGUAAGUCGGGUGUGAAAUCUUGGAGCUUAACUCCGAAACUGCAUUCGAUACUGCCGUGCUUGAGGACUGGAGAGGAGACUGGAAUUUACGGUGUAGCGGUGAAAUGCGUAGAUAUCGGGAGGAACACCUGUGGCGAAAGCGGCGCACUGGACCAUAACUGACGCUGAGGCGCGAAAGCUAGGGGAGCAAACAGG